rnacentral:rRNA from 1 species
UACAGAGGGUGCGAGCGUUAAUCGGAAUUACUGGGCGUAAAGCGUGCGUAGACGGUAGCGUAAGUCGGGUGUGAAAGCCCCGGGCUCAACCUGGGAAUUGCAUUCGAGACUGCUCUGCUAGGGUGCGGAAGAGGGAAGCGGAAUUUCCGGUGUAGCGGUGAAAUGCGUAGAUAUCGGAAGGAACACCAGUGGCGAAAGCGGCUUCCUGGUCCAGCACCGACGUUCAGGCACGAAAGCGUGGGGAGCAAACAGGG